CGAGCGCGAAAGUAGCCUUCGGGCUGCGAGUAGAGCGGCGAACGGGUGAGUAACACGUGGGUGACCUACCCUAGAGUGGGGAAUAACUUGGGGAAACUCGAGCUAAUACCGCAUACGUUCUCGAGGCUGCGGCCUCGCGAACAAAGGUGGCCUCUUCUUGAAAGCCAUCGCUCUGGGAUGGGCCCGCGCCCGAUUAGCUAGUUGGUGGGGUAACGGCCUACCAAGGCUGCGAUCGGUAGCCGGCCUGAGAGGGUGAUCGGCCACACUGGAACUGAGACACGGUCCAGACUCCUACGGGAGGCAGCAGUAGGGAAUAUUGCGCAAUGGGCGAAAGCCUGACGCAGCAACGCCGCGUGGAGGAUGAAGGCCUUCGGGUCGUAAACUCCUGUCAGGUGGAAAGAACGCUCUAUCGGUUAAGAGCUAGUAGAGCUUGACGGUACCACCAAAGGAAGCCCCGGCUAACUCCGUGCCAGCAGCCGCGGUAAUACGGAGGGGGCAAGCGUUAUUCGGAAUUAUUGGGCGUAAAGGGCGCGUAGGCGGCUUGGUAAGUCAAAGGUGAAAUCCCUCGGCUCAACCGGGGAACUGCCUCUGAAACUGCCUGGCUAGAGUCCGGGAGAGGGUAGCGGAAUUCCCAGUGUAGCGGUGAAAUGCGUAGAUAUUGGGAGGAACACCCGUGGCGAAGGCGGCUACCUGGACCGGUACUGACGCUG
rnacentral:rRNA from 1 species